ensembl:lncRNA
UGGGGCUGUGAGUGUGGAAGGGACUGUGAGUGUGCAUGGGGUUGUGAGUGUGCAAAGUGUGCAAGGGGCUGUGAGUGUGAGUGUGCAGGGGGCUGUGAGUGUGCAAGGGGCUGUGAGUGUGUGUGUAUGGGGCUGUGAGUGUGCAAAGUGUGCAAGUGGCUGUGAGUGCGCACGGGGCUGUGAGUGUGCAAUGUGUACAUGGCGUUGUGAGUGUGAGUGUGCAUGGGGCUGUGAGUGUGCAAAAUGUGCAAGGGGCUGUGAGUGUGAGUGUGCAUGGGGCUGUGAGUGUACAAGGGACUGUGAGUGUGAGUGUGGAAGGGGCUGUGAGUGUGCAUGGGGCAGUGAGUGUGAGUGUGCAUGGGGCAGUGAGUGUGCAUGGCGCUGUGAGUGUGAGUGUGCCUGGGGCUGUGAGUGUGCAUGGGGCUGUGAGUGUGAGUGUGCACGGCACUGUGAGUGUGCAAAGUGUGCAAGGGGCUGUGAGUGUGCAUGGGGCUGUGAGUGUGCAAUGUGUGCAAGGGGUUGUGAGUGUGAGUGUGCAAGGGGCUGGGAGUUUGCAAAGUGUGCAAGGGGCUAUGAGUGUGCAUGGGCCUGAGUGUGAGUGUGCAAGGGGCUGUGAGUGUGGAAGGGGCUGUGAGUGUGCAUGGGGCAGUGAGUGUGCAAUGUGUGCAUGGGGUUGUGAGUGUGAGUGUGCAAGGGGCUGUGAGUGUGCAUGGGGCAGUGAGUGUGCAAUGUGUGCAUGGGGUUGUGAGUGUGAGUGUGCAAGGGGCUGGGAGUGUGAGAGUGGGGCUGUGAGUGUGCAAUGUGUGCAUGGGGCUGUGAGUGUGCAUGGGGCUGUGAGUGUGCAAUGUGUGCAAGGGGCUGUGAGUGUGUGAGGGGCUAUGAGUGUGCAUGGGGCUGUGAGUGUGAGUGUGCAUGGGGUUGUGAGUGUGCAAGGGGCAGUGAGUGUGCAUGGGGCAGUGAGUGUGCAAGAGUGAGUGUGCAAGGGGCUGUGAGUGUGAGAGUGGGGCUGUGAGUGUGCAAGGGUCUGUGAGUGUGCAUGGGGCUGUGAGUGUGAGUGUGCAAGCAGCUGUGAGAGUGCACGGGGCAUGCAUGGUGCAGGUGCUGCAUGCAUGGGGCUGCGUGUGCAUGCACGGUGCAGGUGCUGCGUGCACAAUGCAGGUGCUGUGUGCAACACACUGUGCAUGCACGGUGCAGGUGUUGCAUGCAUGGGGCUGUGUGUGCAUGCACAGUGCAGGUGCUGCAUGUGCAUGCACGGUGCAGGUGCUGUGUGCAUGGUGUUGCGUGUGCAUGCAUGGUGCAAGUGCUGCAUGCAUGGGGCUGUGUGCGCAUGCACGGUGCAGGUGCUGUGUGCAACACACCGUGCAUGCAUGUCGCAGUUGCUGCGUGCAUGGAGCUCCGUGUGCAUGCACGGUGUGUGUGCUGCAUGCAUGGGGCUCUGUGUGCAUGCACGGUGUGGGUGCUGCGUGCAGUGCAGUUGCAGUGAGCAGUGCAGGUGUGCAUGCAUGGCGUGGGUGCUGCAUGCAUGGGGCUUUGUGUGCAUGCAUGCUGUGGGUGGUGCAUUACAGUGCAGGUGCAGUGAGCGGUGCAGGUGUGCAUGCAUGGCCUGUGUGCUGCAUGCAUGGGGCUUUGUGUGCAUGCAUGGUGUGGGUGCUGCGUGCAGUGCGGGUGCAGUGAGCGGUGCAGGUGUGCAUGCACGGUGUGGGUGCUGUGAGCACACGUGCAUGUGUUGCAGAGCAGCAGCGCACACGGAAGGUUGGGGGGAGGGAAUGCAGACAGCGG